rnacentral:lncRNA from 1 species
UAGAGCUAAUCACCGGCAGAACAGCAAUAAUAGAAGAUGUAGAACCCGAACCUGUUCACAUAUGUCGAUGGGUGAGGCCUAUGUUUCAGAGAAGAGAUAUUGAAAGUAUAUUGGAUUCAAGGAUCCAACCAGGGACUUACAACGUUUCCUCUGCUUGGAAGGCGGUAGAAAUUGCCAUGGAAUGUGUGUCAUCAACAGCUAUCGAAAGACCAGAUAUCAAUGUUGUGUAUAAGGAACUGAAGGAAUGUUUGGAAAUUGAGGUUCCACCUGAAAUAGCAAAGGUUCCAGAGGUUGAUGAUGAGAGUGAUGAUUGCAGUACUAAUUCAGUGUUUCUUUUCACAUGGCGUCCCACACUGAGUCUGAAAGCUUCUUAGUUCAUAUGAAGUCACACAAGUCUGAAACUAAAAGGCAUACGUGUUAGUUAUUCUUGCACUGUUAAAAUAAGAUUGGAAUUAUACGAGCGGAAACUAAUUGGACUAUUCCUACAAAUCUAGUAGGAGAACAUUGCCCCAAUUUUGGGUUUCUGGAUUGCAAGAAGAUUUACCGGAAGCAUGUUUAAAACUAAGUUCUUGCAACCGGAAGAGUGACGCAGGAGGAGUAUGGAGGGCUAACCAGCGUUAAACCCUAAUAAGUGGAGAGCCUUCAAGCGAAGAACUUUAUAGGAGCAAAACCUGGAGCGCGUCAGGGACUAAGAGAAAACUCUUAAGUUUCUGAAUUAUAUUUGAAAAACUGAAUGUCAGCUACCCAUAAGGGUGCUUAUAUAUGAGAAACAAAACCCUAGGGCGACUAACAACCAAACCUAAAAGCCUAAGGAUUGAAUUAAAACAGAAUCCAAAAAAACUAUGAAACAUAAAAAUCCCGAAAACUAAUAAAACGCUGUUUUGAGGUCCAAAACAAACUCGAAUAGUCGAAAAAAGUUAUACGUCGUGGCAAAACGACAAGUCUUGUUCGUUGGGCCGUUCCGCUUCUAGAAAUGUAUCAUAAUAGUCAUUCAGACAUCGAACGCUAAAUCUGCAGCAAACCGGGUUUGGACCUGCAACGAUCGAUCUGUUCCUCGAUUUCUUCUGCCAUCCGUCCUACAUCAAAGAGAUACUCAUAUACAUGAUGCCAAUGGAACAUUUGGGUACCUUGAUGCUGUAAACUGCAGAUUAUGUUUUCUACCUUAUUGUUAAAGACCAAUGACUUCUGAGUUUUGAUCACGAAAAAUAUGUGAAAAACGAAAUCGAAUCAUUGGAAUUCAAUGCACACAAUCUUCCAUGCCACAUCUAGUUGGGAUUAAUGCACCAUUUGGGAGAGAAGAAAAUUUAGAAUUAAGACAAGCGGACUUCAAACCAAAUAUGCUUCCAUAGUUCCAAUCAUGAAUCCAAGCAGACUCGAUUGCUUUGAUCACUACGGUAACCUCAGCAACAACAGAACUAGAAAUAUCAAGGGAUGAAGAAAAAGCACCGACAACCCUCACCUUGAAAAUCACAAAAAACUCCACCAUAACCUGACUGAACCUCCUCACUCUCCCAAACGCCAUCUGUAUUGACAUUUGCCCAACCAAUUAUAAGAGAGUGCUAAUUCACCUCAAAGGCUCAAAAAUUCUGGGGCACGACGCGGCCUAGCUACAAGUAACACUGAACCUCUUCAAGACACAAAACACAGUAAAAAAAUAAAAAAUAAAAAAACAGAGAGAGAGAAAGAAAAUAGAAAAGAAAAAUAUCAGGUAGUGUUAUCUAUAACCAUGACAUAGACUAAUUGGUGAAUACAAGUCGCACAAAAGAGCAUCAUGUUGGGACUUCUCAGUUUGCAGUAGGAAACUGGUCUUCAAUCAUCAAAUGUUCGUGGAUCAGUGGAUGUCUCCAGCGGAACAAAAUCCCUUUGUCUUCUUCUUCUCAAUUCUAAGUUCAGACUCGAAUGGCUAAUUGGAUUCUUUUCACCUUCAUUUCUAUAAAUGGGUGUGAGCCCUCUUCUACUCACGAUCCUCAUCACCCUCUCAUUCUUCCCAGGUACGUAAUCAAUCCAUCCUCAACUCCUCCACCUCUGUUUCUUAUUACUGAUCGAACAAACUGGUGUUUACUUGUUGGUUUCUUCGAGUGCAAAAACAGAGUCGACAUCGUUCGAGAUAGUCAACAACUGCAACUACACAAUCUGGCCCGGACUUCGCUCCACGGCCGGCUCAUCACUAAACCUGUCGACCACCGGCUUCACGCUCAAGAGCGGCGCGUCCUUCAACCUCUCCGUCCCCAAAUCCUGGACAGGUCAGGUGUGGGGCCGGACACUCUGCAACCAAUCCUCCACCAGAAACUUCUCAUGCUUCACCGCCGACUGCGGCACCGGAAAAAUCGAGUGCGACAGAAACGGUGGCAGUCUGCCGGCUACCCUAGCCGAGUUCUCUCUCAACCUCACCGGCGGCAUGGACUACUAUGACGUCAGCCUCGUCACCACUGGUGGAGCCGCACGGAGCAGGCAGCAGCAACUGCAGCUCUUCGGGAUGCUCGGUCGACUUGAACGGCUCGUGUCCCAGGGAGCUGAGGGUGGCGCGUGAGGGGAGCCAAGGGACCGUGGCGUGCAUGACGUCGUGCACGGCGUUCAAUAAUUCGUUGUUUUGUUGUACUGGGAGUGUUUUGCCGGAAAAGUGUGCCGGUACCGUAUACACCGAUUUUUUCAGACGGGAAUGCCCACAAGCGCAUGCCUAUGUGUAUGAUCCGAUCCAGACUUCUUCGUACACGUGUGCGUCAGCUAACUACAACAUUGUGUAUUUUUAUUUUUUAGAUAAUGACAAUUUACACAAGAAAAACAGAAACAACUUUAAUGUUAAAACUAUUUUUAAAGAUCAUCCAAAUGAUUCUCAAAAUUUCUUAGGGCUCGAAGUUUAUGUGAAAUGCUCUAAUUAUGUAUUGUAAUACAGUUUUUGUCACUUUGACUGUUUUAGGGUUCAAACUAAAUUGGAACACACCCAACUAGACAAGAACAACUAGGACGACUUGCAUAGUUUAGGUACUUGUACAAUUGUCACGUUUUAUGAUGUUCCAUUCAAGUUUCACGUAUGUUGUGAUGCAUCGUCUGAUUUCUAUGCAUAUUUGUCUAAUAAUACCAAGUGAACCAUAUUUUGAGGAAAAAUUCUAGUAUAACAUAUGGUAUAGUAUGCCUCACAAAAUGUGUGGCUAUCAUUGAUUGUAGAAACAAGUAAAUGAUCAUGUAAUGACCAUUUACCCUUUUAAAAGCUCUCAUGUGUCAUACAAUUAGACACAUUUACAAUAUGUAUGUAAUAUCAUAUGGUAUGAUAGACAAACACCAUUUUGAGAAACCAUAUAAAGCCCAUAUUUUGUUAAGACACAGUCACAUCAUUUAAUGAAAUAUUCUGAUUGAAUAAUGUAAAUGUCACUUAAGCUGAUACCUAAUGUUGGUUCGAGCUAGUUCUUUAAAAUAUGGUUAACUUAUCAUUGCUCUGAAAACAAAUAAAGUUCAUUCAACAUCACAAGUAAGAGCUAGGAACCCCUUGAUUAGUGUUGUGUUUUUGAAAGGGGACAUAACGCCUAAAUCAGUUGAUACACCAGUCCAAGAGCCGAUUGUAUACAAACGGUUCCUUUAGAAAGCAAAAACCACAAAAUAAAAAUUGUCUCUAUAGCAUCAAUUGCUGGGAUUGUCAAAGCACUAUUUGGGGAGAUUGAAUAAAAUUUAGAAUUAAAGAAGUAAUAAUUUUCGAAUUUGGGAGAAAGACCAUCUAAAUAUGUUUUGAGCCAAAAUAUCUUUCUAAUCACGAUUCCAAACCAGCUCUCUUGUCUUAAUCACCGCCAUAACACCUCAGCAGUAAUGAAACUAGAAAUAUUGAAGGCAUGAAGGAAAAACACUGAGAGCAAUUGCACCCAUGGAUGGAGGGCAAUCGCUGAUUUGCCAAUCAAAUUGGUACUGCUAAUCCACUAUUUAUCUAAAAUUGGCAAUUGCAUUUUGCUUGUUCAAUGCACCAAUUGGGCAAUUUACUUGCUAAUUUCAUUAUAAAUUAAUCAAUUCAUUUAUUUAUGAACUAAACUAAACUUAUAGUUUGAUUUGAUUAAUUAUUUUUAAAUUAUAAUAAUGGUACGUUAGUUAAUCUUAAUGAAAAAUUAUCUUAGGUAACAUUUGACAAAAUAAACGGUAAUUUUUAUAUAAAAAAAGGAGAAAGUUGUAGAACUUUGAUUAUGGAGUGUUUACUUCAUUUGUUUGACGGUUAUUCUAUAAUUGUUAGAGGGGAUGGUGGUUCGAGUCACCCCUGAAGCAUACUUUUUCCCAAAUCAAAACCAAUUUCCUUCUCUCCACGUGAUGGACAACCACUUUUAUGUGGAGCCCACCAGAAUUGGUCAGGCAAUUCAAUGGGCGAAAAUUAACAAUCCAAUUGCCCGGGCGGCUGGGUCCCAUGUGGGCCUUAGCAAUUGGUCGGGCAAAACUUUGCCGGUGCGAUGUUUUCUCUCAAUCAACAAAUCAGUCAUCAAAUCGAUCCAUUGGUGCAAAUGCUCUGACAAACUCAUUUUGAAAAUCACAAAAAAGUCUAACAUAACUUGACCGAUCCUUCCCACGCGUCCAAGAACCAUCAAAUCCAUGUUGAUCUUGACCUAACCAUUAAGAUUCACCUAUAAAAAUCUUUGAGGCACGACCCGGCUACGAUUAACGCCAGACAUCUUAAUUCGGUCUAUAUUAUCUGCAGCCAUGACAAAGACAAAUUGGCGUCUUCUUCUUCUUCUCAGUUCUAAUUAACUGGAAUGACUUGGAUUCUCACCUUCAUUUCUAUAAUGGGUGUGAGUCCUCUUUUACUCACGAUCCUCAUCACCCUCUCUUUCUUUUUAUCAGGUAAGCAAUCAAUCCGUACUCAACUCCUCCAUCUAUGUUUCUUAUUCAUCGAACAAACUUGUGUUUAGUGUUUACUUUUGGUUUCUCAGAAACAGAGUCAACAUCGUUCGAGAUAGUCAACAACUGCAACUACACAGUCUGGCCCGCAGUUAUCUCCUCCGGCACAGUAAACCUGUCGUCGCUGUCGACCACCGGCUUCACGCUCAAGAGCGGCGCGUCCUUCAACCUCUCCGUCCCCAACUCAUGGCAGGGUAGGGUGUGGGGCCGGACACUCUGCAACGAAUCCUCCACCGGAAACUUCUCCUGUUUCACCGCCGAUUGCGGCACCGGAAAAGUCGAGUGCGGCGGAAAUGGCUCCAAACCGCCAGCUACGUUCGCCGAGUUCUUAAUCAACAGCACCGGCAUGGACAUCUAUGAUGUUACCCUGGUCGACGGGUUCAAUCUCCCAAUGGUGGUGGAGCCCCUUGGUGGCAGCAACUGCAAAUCUUCGGGAUGCUCGGCCGACUUGAACGGCGCGUGUCCCAAGGAGCUGAGGGUGGCGCGUGAGGGGAGCCAAGGGACCGUGGCGUGCAUGACGCCGUGCACGGCGUUCAAUAAUGAUCUGUUUUGUUGUACCGGGCAGUAUAAUACACCCGAGACGUGUGCUGGGACCGUAUAUACCGAUUAUUUCAAACAAAGAUGCCCGAAAGCGUAUACCUACUCGUAUGAUGACAACCAGACUACGUACACAUGUGUGUCAGCUAACUACAGCAUUGUUUUCUGCCCGAUCAGGUACCUAGUUCAUAAUAUAUUGUCACGUUCUAUAAUGUUCCAUUCAAGUUUCACUCUGCUGAAUCACUUUCACUUUGCUGAAUCACUGCAAGUGAUGUUCGAGCAUCAGGGAGGGAACUCUCAACCCGAGUUCGAUUUCACCAAGUAGUUAAAGUGGUCAGACACAAUACUGAAAUGUAUAUUUGGAGCAUUUCAUAUGCACUUAGAGAUUAAUCAAUUCUUCGUAGUUCGUAUUAUAACAUGUCGAAUUCAAGAGCCAAUAUGAUGUUUUUGACAAAUGAGGUAGUGAUGAGACAACAAUGUGAAAGUAUGGGGUUAUUAGUAGUUUCCUGGGUGUUUUCUGGAUACAGUGUGGGUCUAUAUUACGUAGAACAGUAGAAUUACUAGUACUUACAACUUACAAGUAGAAAUCUUCUAUGAUACAAAUGCAGGUUAGUACGAAAGACUAACCAUCAAGCUUCUUUAUGUCAGUUUGGACCAAACACCAGCUGAAACACCAGCAGCCAAAGAACCAACUGUACCCGAACAGGUUCCUUCGAAAAGUAAAAGACACAAAAUCAUCAUUGCCUCUGUAGCGUCAAGUGCUGGGAUUAUUAUCUUCAUAUUAGCGGUAUUAGCGGGACUAUGGAGCACUAAAAGGAAGAAGAGACAACAAGGUUAGCAAAAUGAAUACUUAGGCCAACUUUGAUUGCAGGACUUUCAAUUUUUUAGCUAGUCUAUUUUGUGAUGAUCACUCUGGCUUCUGGUGUAGAGAUCCAAAAUAGUUCAUUGGAGUUGGACGAUGGUCGACGCUUCAUGUACUCGGAGCUUGUAAAGAUUACCAAUAAUUUUGCAUCGCCAAUUGGAGCAGGUGGAUUUGGAAAAGUCUAUCAUGGUAUUCUGGAAAAUGAUAUGCAAGUUGCCGUCAAGUUACUUAUUUCCGCAUCAGGCUCCAGUGAAUUUCAAAAUGAGGUCGAUAAGUUAGCAAUCUUAAAGCGAUUCGGACUGUCCCAAAACCACAAUCAUAUAUAAACCAAUCUGUGUAUGCAGGUUAAGCUAUUGAUGAGAGCUCAUCAUAGAAAUGUGGUUUCCUUCACUGGCUACUGCUAUGAUGGAAAGACUAUGGCACUUGUAUUUGAAUAUGUUGCCAAUGGAAAUUUACAACAACAUUUAACAGCUUCAGGUAUGCAGUUACAGUAUUUCAUCUAUAUAUAUAUAUGAUGUGCUUGCAUUACUUGAUGAUCACUUAUAUGCUAAAUGCAAUGAAUUGUGUGCACUGUUGGGGUUCAGAUGUAGAUACAGGAAACAUUUUGACUUGGAAGGAGAGACUUCAAAUCGCAGUGGAUGCAGCACAAGGUAUACAAUAGCUGAGAUAUAAGAACAAUAUAUAUGUGAAAUGGAUUGUUCCUUUGGUCUUCCUAUAUAUUUCCUAAAUCAUGAUUGAGUUGCAAUAUGAUGUACAUUAGUACCUGACAUCGAUUAGGCUUUUAAAAGGCAGAUAAUAUUUUGCAGGACUGGAUUAUCUACAUAAUGGUUGCAAGCCUCCCAUAAUCCACAGAGAUAUAAAGACCUCCAAUAUAUUGUUAACUGAAAAGAUGCAAGCCAAGAUAUGUGAUUUUGGUGUUUCCAAACUUCUUUCAACUGAAACUGCUACUCAUACCAUGACAGAUCACGUCAGAGGAACUCGAGGAUACUUUGAUCCUGAGUAAGUUAGUAAAGACGUAUAUAAGUUACUUAAAAAUUGCUGAAAGAUAAAUUGCUGAUAGAUAAGCAUAACUUACAUUCUUCGAUUUUCUUCUUUUCAUCUCGUUAUGUUCAGAUACUACACCACAGGAAAGCUGAACAAAAGAGUGAUAUAUACAGCUUUGGUAUUGUGUUGCUAGAGCUAAUCACCGGCAGAACAGCAAUAAUAACAGAUGUAGAACCCGAACCUGUUCACAUAUGUCAAUGGGUGAGGCCUAUGUUUCAGAGAAGAGAUAUUGAAAGUAUAUUCGAUUCAAGGAUACAAGCAGGGACUUACAACGUUACCUCUGCUUGGAAGGCGGUAGAAAUCGCCAUGGAAUGUGUGUCAUCAACAGCUAUCGAAAGACCAGAUAUCAAUGUUGUGUAUAAGGAACUGAAGGAAUGUUUGAAAAUUGAGGUUCCACCUGAAAUAGCAAAGGUUCCAGAGGUUGAUGAUGAGAGUGAUGAUUGCAGUACUAGUUCAAGUGUCCCUGUUCUACAUGACGUCCCACACUCGGUCUGAAAGCUUCUUAGUUCAUAUGAAGUCACACAUUGAGUCUGAAACUGAAAGGCAUACGUGUUAGUUAUUAUUUUGUUUUGAAAUCAACAUUUUAGUUAUUCUUGCACUGUUAAAACAAGAUUGGAAUUAUACGAGGGCGGAAACUAAUUGAACUAUUUCUACAAAUCUAGCAGAACAUUGCUCUGAUUAAAACUGUUCUUUCACUUCUUUCCAAGAGUAUAUUAUUACCUCUGGAGAAUCCAGAAGUAUGUUUUAAAUUAAGUUCUUGCAACUGGAAGUGGCACUCGUAUAUCAACUUAUGCAAAGGAACAUUUCGGGUACCUUGAUGCUGUAAACUGCUGGUUAUAAAAACUGAUGAAGAUUUUCAACGUUCGCGAUUAUUUCAGGAUCAAUGACUUCUGAUAAACAGUUGCACAGAUCAAUGAGAUCGUUGUUGAUACGAAUUCGAGCAGCUCAGCUCAUGGAAGAAAGAGCUGCAACACAAAAAUGCUAGAUAGAUAAUUCAUUGUCAAAAGUUUGGAAAUCGAUUAAUUCAUAGUGGGUCGUCCAUCUAUGUAAUGAAACUAGAUAUUGAAAAAGCUUCCAUAGUCUGAAGAAAGUAGUCGUUCAGAAAUCAGAAGUAACAAAUACUGGAGUAACAAAUACUUUUCAAUACAUCUAUCCGCAGAAAAUGAACCGAGAAAGACUGUUAGGCACAUGAACUAGAUUCCCUAAAUAUUACAAAUGUCAUGAAUUACAUCCCUGCCAACAUUUCCAGUAAAAUUUACAUCAAGCAUAGAGGCACAAUUCUGGUCAGGUCUUAGGAAAUUGGCUUUCUUUCUUUUGAUUAUCUAGAUGAUGAUUAGAACCCAAAUUGAGAAUGAUAGAUUAGGGAUGCAGUUUUGUGAGAUUGUAAGCCUCGAAGCCAUCACCUACCUUGCACACUGGCAGGAGAUUGUCCACCUCUCUCACUGCCAAUAUCAUCUUCUACUCCACUCACGUCUAAACAAAGGCCAUUGUUGUUUACACUGACUUCAGAGCUAGCAUUACUGCUGGUGGCAAGAGGAGAAUCUGAAACACUAACCGUUCUGCUUCGUGCAGGCCCUGAUCUCACACUGUACAUAGAGGAUGCAGGAAUAUUUGUCAUCAACGGCCGCAAAUUACCAGGAAUGGUUCGCCUUAUAUCCUGCAAUCAAAAGUUAAAUCAAAUAUUAAUAUCACUGGGUUUCUGGGAUGUACAUCAAAUCAUAAACAGGAAAAGAAUGAUUACCAUGUGACGUAUAGCCAUAUCAAGGGAUUUCUUUGAGAGUGUUCUACCAAAGCCGGAACUGUCUGGGGAUGAAGAUGACUUCCCAGAGUUACCAUGAGGUGACGGUUUGUCAUCAUGCUUGGGGGGAGCCAGUCUCCGCAUAUUUAUUACCCUCUCAACCAUUUUCGUUCCCAUUAAAACAGGGCUCACAUUGUCAUUAACUUUAGAACGCCCACGACUGAAUGCAGGAACAGAGCUCCCACUAAUAUGAGUACUGCCAUUGGGAGCCCUUCCUCUUGAAGGAGAGCAUAAACAGUAGCAAAACCUUCUCAAAUCAAGUAAAUUUUUCAAACGCAAUUUAUAAGCUGAGCAAAGUGAUUGCAGCUUGGGCAGAUGCGAAAGAGUUCAAUAGUUCAGACACUCAUGUAACGGCCAAUCAGGCUUUGCAAUGAACAAGUUUUGACCUUUUCUGCUUCCUAUUGCAUAUUUUUUAGGAUAAUAAAUGCCAAGCGUAUUAAUUACUUGAAAGUUAAAAAGGAGAGUCAAAAUCAAAUCCAUAUGAAACGGCUACUCCUAUCACAUAGAGAUGCAUAUACUCCAACCACUCCAGAUUAAGAAUUACUACCCUCAUAAUAAGGAAGUGCUAACUCUAGAUUUGAGUGCAGUUGGACGAGCCUUUGGGGUUCCAAGCUGACUCAUCAUGGUCUUAUGUGAUUCCAUUUACAGUGAAGGGAAAAGAGGAGUCCCAGGCGGAGUUAAAAGCCUGCAGCAAGGGGGGAAAAAUCAUAUAAUGAUCUCAGUUAAAGCAGAACAUAAUAUAUAAUAAGACCCAACUUCAAAAGCCAAUUGCCACCUCUGCUAAAGUCUGAUCCUAAUAUGCUCUUAAGAACAAAAUAACACAUGUUUCCAUGAACUGUGGUCAGCAUUCCUUUCCAAAAAUUACUCAUAGUAGAUCCCCGCCUCCCCUAUUAUCUAUCAAAACCCUCUCAGCUAAAAAACAACUUUUACAGAUAAAAUGUAAUCUAUACUAUCACAUUACCAAUCAUAGUCAUUCUUAUCAUUCUCCAAAUUGAGAAACUUAUCAGUUCCACUCUUGCGCGUCAUCAGUUCCACUCUUGCGCGUGGAGGGCGCCGGCGUAGAUGAGGAUAUAUUAAAAAUGGGAGAAGUUCCGGGUUUAGCCCCUGCAAAUGUCGAAACAACCACACUAGUCAACCCACAUUUCCAAACAAUUCAAGCCAACUAUUACACUAAUACAGCACCAGUUCAAGAACUAAAUUUGAAAUCCUAUGUUACAAUCCAAAAUCCGAAAAAAAAACUAAGACUUGGGAACUGAGAAGUACCUAAAGGCGCAACGAACUCUUCAGAAGUGUUGAGAAGAAGAUCGUUCCUCUCCUUCUCCCUCUUCUUCAUCUCUAGAAACAACACCAGCUCUUCUUCCUUCUCCUUCCUCAUCAAGGCCCUCAGCUUGUGAAGUUCCAAGUACUUCCGGUAUGUUAAGCAAAAAAUAUAACAGGUGUUUAUCAUGGCACAAUACACCUGUUUGGUAGAACAACAUCCAUGGCCAGGAACUUGUCCUCAUUCUGGUCUCAGCUUCAGUUAAAUGUUAUAUGUUUAGCAGGGUAACUGAAGAAUGGAAGAAGCGAUUUUUCUUUUUCAAAGAACAAUAUUAAGACAUUAAGUGGGGGCAAUUGCCCUCACUAGGCAUAACAUGCGUCCGCCUAUGGCAGUAGAAGUAAUUCACUGACUCACUAUUAAGAGACUACAUACCUACAUUCUAAUCUGAACAUGUAAACUUUGAGUUUCAGAAAUGUACAAGUUUGGAGUAUUUCUGCUAGGGAUGAUGGUAAACAGGAUGCCACAAAAAGAGUUUGAGAGGUGCAACGAUUGUUAUAUGCAGAAUGCAUUAUCUUAGAAAUCGAGAGACACCGACAGACCCGAAAAUGGAAUUGACUCAAAACAUUGAUGCAAAUAUUCAAAAUACUCUUAAAACAAUAUCCUUACUUCACAGUUCACAUUCAAUAUACUCAUAUCUCACGAUGUUAAGCUGAAUAAAAUUCAAGGGAAUUGAGAUGAACAUGCCAAUCUAUAUACUAAUCAUUACUAUUGCAGCAUAAUACUCCAACAUUCUCAACUCGCAAAAAAGGAUAGAUUAACACAACAAAGCUUUAAUUCAACCAAUAUAUACAAACUCAUCAUUGAUCGUUACCUUCACCAACGAGAUGGCAGUUACCAACAAGAUGAAUACUUCAAUCGGCUGCAAAUUCGAAAAAAAUUUAUUUAUCCCCAAUUUCGGAUUAAAUCUAACGCCGGGCCCAAGGUUUCAAACAUUUUUACGAUCUUGGGUUGUCCGGAAUGGAAUGUUGACAGCCAAGAGGACCUCGAUGUCGAUCGAUUGCUUGAGUAAUAGACCCGGUAAGCAAGAGGAUGAGUGGUUGGUCGGCUUGAAUGGGUUAUGCUAUUAUUGUUUUAUUGCGUCUGCUUUUUCUUUUUUCUUUUUUAUUCCAGUGGUUAACGCCACUUGACUAACGCCUUCUUUCACGUGCACUGCAUAUGGGCGUGUACAUCCACGGCCGUGCACACAAGACACUCAGCUGGAAACUUCCACGAACAAUAGAUGAUUGAAGACCCAGUUUGCUUCUGAAGAUUGAAAAGUCUUGCGUGUGGACUUUCUCACCAGUUUGCUCCACAAGACACUCCGGUUUUUCAAAAUUUCUCUCCGAUCACUAUUUGAUCGGAGUGUCUUGUGGAGCAAACCGGAGUGUCUUCAAUCAUCUAUUGUUCGUGGAAAUUUCCAGCGGGACAAAAACCUUUCGUGUUCUUCAUCUCAGUUCUAACUUUCAAACUCGAAUGACUAAUUGGAUUCUUCACCUUCAUUUCUAUAAUGGGUGCGAGUCCUCUUUUACUCACGAUCCUCACCCUCUCUUUCUUCUUAUCAGGUAAGUAAUCCAUCAUCAACUCCUCCAUAUCGAGUGAUCGAACAAACUGGUGUUUACUUUUUAGUGAUCGAGUGCAGAAACAGAGUCCGUAUCGCUCCAGAUAGUCAACAAGUGCAACGACACAAUCUGGCCCGGAAUUCUCUCCACCGGCAGAGUAAAACUGUCGACCACCGGCUUCACGCUCGAAAGCGGCGCGUCCUUGAACCUCUCCGUCCCCGACUCCUGGACAGGUCGUGUCUGGGCCCGGACACUCUGCAACCAAUAUUCCAGCGGAAACUUCUCCUGUUUCACCGCCGACUGCGGCACCGGAAAAAUCGAGUGCGACGGAAACUUUGGCAGUCUGCCGGCUACUACAGCCGAGUUCAGUCUCAACAGGACCGGCGGCGUGGACUUCUAUUUCGUCAGCCUCGUCACCGGGUUCAACCUCCCGAUAGUGGUGGAGCCUCGCGGAGCAGGCAGCAACAACUGCAGCUCUUCGGGAUGCUCGGCCGACUUGAACGGCGAUUGUCCCAAGGAGCUGAGGGUGGCGCGUGAGGGGAGCCAAGGGACCGUGGCGUGCAUGACGCCGUGCAUGGCGUUCAAUAAUUCGCGGUUUUGUUGUACGUAUCGUGCAUCCGACACGUGUGAUGGGACCGUAUAUAGCGAUUAUUUCAAACAAAGAUGCCCACAAGCGUAUACCUACUCGUAUGAUGACAACCAGAGUACGUACACCUGUGCUUCAGCUAAUGACUACAGCAUUGUUUUCUGUCCUAUCAGGUACCUAGUCCAUUAUAUAUUGUCACGUUUUAUGAUGUUCCAUUUGAGAGUCAUGUUGUAGAACCACUGCGAUUAAUCAAUUCUUGCUAUUAUAACAUGUCAAGAUGUCAAGAACCAGUAUGUUGCAUAUGAAGUUCUUGAGGAAUGUGGUAGUGAUAAGUUCUUGAGGAAUGUGCAAGUGCAAGGGGUUAAUAGUAGGUUCGAAGUUUUCUAAUUAUGUAGAACACUAGAAUUAGUAGUAUACAACUAGAAUUCAGAAAUCAUCCAUGAUACGAAUGCAGGUUAUUACAAAAGAUUUACUCCAAUUAAAGCACGUUAAUAACUGGUAACCAUCAAGCUUCGAUUCUUUAUGUCAGUUUGGACCAAACACCUUCGAAAAGUAAAAACCACAAAAUCGUGAUUGCCUUUAUAGCGGCAAGUGCUCAGAUUAUCAUCUACAUAACGAUGUUUGCGGGCCUAUGGAGCAUUACAUCGAAGAGACGACAAGGUUAGCAAAAUGAAUGCAUAGGCCGACUUGGAAUGCAGGACUUUCAGUUUUUUAGCUCGUCAUUUAUGUGAUGAUCACUCUGGUUUUUGGUGUAGAUAUCAAAAAUAGUUCAUUGGAGUUGGAGGAUGGUCGACGCUUCAUGUACUCGGAGCUUGUAAAGAUUACCAAUAAUUUUGCAUCGCCAAUUGGAGCUGGUGGAUUUGGAAAAGUCUAUCAUGGUCUUCUGGAAAAUGAUAUUCAAGUUGCUGUCAAGUUACUUAUUUCCGCAUCAGGCUCCAGUGAAUUUCAAAAUGAGGUAGAUAAGUUAACAAUCUAGCUCUAAAGCGACUCGGACUGUUCCAAAACCGCAAUUAACAUUAACUUUGAGCCAUAUAUAACAAACUGUAUGCAGGUUAAGCUAUUGAUGAGAGCUCAUCAUAGAAAUGUGGUUUCCUUCAUUGGCUACAGCUAUGAUGGAAAGACUAUGGCACUUGUAUUUGAAUAUGUGGCCAACGGAAAUCUGCGGCAACAUUUAACAUUUUCAGGUAUGCACUUAUCAUACUUCAUCUAUAUAUAUGAUGUGCUUGCAUUACUUGAUGAUCACUUAUAUGGCCUAAAUGCAAUCAUUUGUGCACUGUUGAGGUUCAGAUGCAGCCACUGGAAACAUUUUGACUUGGAAGGAGAGACUUCAAAUCGCAGUGGAUGCAGCACAUGGUAUAGAAUAGCUGACAUAUAAGAUAAAUAUAUAUGUUAAAGAGUUUGUUUCUUUGGUUCCCCUAUAUAUAUUCAUCAUGUAGUUCUAAAUCAUGAUCAUGUUGAAAUUUGAUGUACAUUAGUACAAGGCAUCGAUUAGGCUUUUAAAUGGCAGAUGAUAUUUUGCAGGACUGGAUUAUCUACACAAUGAUUGCAAGCCUCCCAUAAUCCACAGAGAUAUAAAGACCUCCAAUAUAUUGUUAACUGAAAAGACGCAAGCCAAGAUAUGUGAUUUUGGUGUUUCCAAACUUCUUUCAACUGAAACGGCCACUCAUACCAUGACAGAUCACGUCAGAGGAACUCGCGGAUACUUUGAUCCUGAGUAAGUUAGUAAAGACAUAUAUUAGACAUAUAAGUUGCUCUAAAUUGCUGAUAGAUAAGCAUAACUUACAUUCUUCGAUUUUCUUCUUUUCAUUUCAUUAUGUUCAGAUACUACACCACAGGAAAGCUGAACAAAAAGAGUGAUAUAUACAGCUUUGGGGUUGUGUUGCUAGAGCUGAUCACCGGAAGAACAGCAAUAAUAACAGAUGUAGAACCCGAACCUGUUCACAUUUGUCAAUGGGUGAGGCCUAUGUUUCAGAGAAGAGAUAUUGAAAGCAUAUUGGAUUCAAGGAUACAAGCAGGGACUUACACUGUUUCCUCUGCUUGGAAGGCGGUAGAAAUCGCCAUGGAAUGUGUGUCCUCAACAGCUACCGAAAGACCAGAUAUCACUGUCGUGUAUAAGGAAUUGAAGGAAUGUUUGGAAAUUGAGGUUCCACCUGAAAUACCAAAGGAUCCAGAGGUUGAUGAGAGUGAUGAUUGCAGUACUAGUUCAAGUGUCCCUGUUCCCAUGAUGUCCCACACUCGGUCUGAAAGCUUCUUAGUAGACAUGAAGUCACACAUUGAGUCUGAAACUGAAAGGCAUACGUAUUAGUUAUUCUUGCACUGUAAAACCAAGAUUGGAAAUUUGGAAUUAUACGAGAGCGGGAACUGAUUGGUUUCUACAAAUCUAGUAGAACAUUGCUCCAAUUGUGGGUUUCUCUGGAUUGCAAGAGGAUAUUACCUCCGAUGAAUCCAGAAGAAUGUUUAAAAUUAAGUUCUUGCAACUGGAAGUCUGGAAGAGACACUCUAUCAAUUGAUGCCAAAGGAACACUUGGGGUACCUUGUUGCUGUAAAUUGCAGGUUACCAGUUUUUCAACCUUCGUGUUUGUUUGAGGACCAAUCUGCUCAUGUAACAACAUUUGCAUUAUCAAUGCAUCAGCCACUUGGUUCCCUUUUUCGAAAAAUAUGUGAAAAACGAAAUUGCAUCACUGGAAUUCCAUGCCACAUCUCUAGUUAUCAAUGGACCAUUUAGGGAGUAUAGAAAAUCUAGAAUUAGAGACGACUUCAAACCAAAUAUGCAAGCUGGAUUGCCUUCAUCAUUGUCGUAACCUCAGCAACAAUUAUCAAGUGAUGAAGCAAAAGCAUGGACAAUCCUCACCUUGAAAAUCAUGAAAAACUCCACCAUAGCCCGACUGAUCCUCCCCACACUUUUAAGCGCCGUCUGUGUCAACCUUUACCAAACCAAUAAUGGGAGGUUUCCAAUUCACCUCAAAAAUAAGGGCAUGACGCGGCCGACAAGUAACACCAAACCAGCUAGUCAAGAGGACAAAACACAGACAAAAAAGAGAAAAUUACAUAGUAAUACAUGACCAAAUUUACAAACACAAAAACCAACUUUCAAUAUUUUUUGUACAAAUUAGGACAUGAGUACGUGCCGAAAACUAGUGGUACCAGAUAUGAUCCACACUUUCAUAAGCAAAUAACCAAUAUACCCACCGCGUUAUCUUCUUUCUCCAUCACCCAUAUCUCUCUCUCUCUCUCUCUCUCUCUNNNNNNNNNNNNNNNNNNNNCUCUCUACUCAGUACUCACCAUCAUCGCUGCCCCUCCUCCUCCACUGCCUCACUGUCGCCGCCGCAACAAUUGACGGUUCCCCUCAUCCGCGCCACACCAUCGCCGUCCUCUUCCUUCGUUGGUCGCCACGUCAGAAUCAACAGUAGUAGAAUCGCGUCUUCCUCCUAUCCAAGCUUGAUCACAUCACCUCUGUCCUUUGACGCUCGUCAAAGAGGCACGCCGCACGACGAUGCUCGACGACUACGACGCCCAGAUCGCAUCACUUCAGUCCUCCGAUGUCGGAUCUCAUACAACGUCAAGCUCUUAGAUCUGGUUAUGCAAACUGAUGUGAUCUGGUCGUCAUAUUCAUAUCCUAGCACCUUGUCAUGAUUUGGUUUGAAUUUGAAGCAUUGCAUAUGUUGGAGCAAACCUUGAUGCAUGGAUUUGAUCUUCAAUUUAUAUGAGAUGUUCAUGGAUUUGAUCUUCAGUUGGUAUGAGAUGCAUGGUGUCACCGUCUCUCAUUUGUCUCACUCAGUAGCAGUGAUAUAAAUGAGGUUGAAUGGUUUGGGUUUUGGUUGAUUAGUAGGUGAUGCCAUAUAUGAAUGAGGUUUGUUGUGAGAACAUGAAUGAGAUCUGUUUAUUUGAAUGAGGUUUGCUUAUCAAGUUAAACCAUUACUUGUUGUGGUAGAUGUAGUUUUAAAGUUCAUUAGUAGUGAUACGUACAGUAGCAGCAACGUUAUCAUCAGAGUCGGCUCGGCAGUAGUAGCGCUAGCAUCAAAGUUGGUAGUAGCAGCGCUCUAGCAUUAGAGUCGACAGUAGCAGCUUUGUUUGAUUUCAGAGAAUUGCCUGAAAAAAUUACAAUAACUCCUUUUUAUCGGGUGCUACUGUGCUACGUGGCAGUAGCACCCAAUGUGCUAUGUGCUAUGUGCUACUGUGCUUCUCAGUAGUGUGCUAUUGUGCUACUUGGCAGUAGCACCCAAUAUGCUAUUGUGCUACUCGGCAGUGUGCUACUGUGCUACAAGUCGAUAGUAGCAGUUGAUAUGUAAUGAAGGGUAUUCUGGUAAAAUUGUAGUGACAGAUGGCAUGUGAGUAUUAGUUUGUCAUAAUUUGUUAAUAUUUGUCUUUAAAUGUGUAAGAUAUUGUGUAAAAGAUGUAUUUGUAAACUGAAAUUUGGUUAAUAACUUUAUAGUAAUUUGCUAAAUUAAAAAAAGUGGGAGAAAAAAUAAUAUAAAAAUAAAUAAAAAUAAAAAAUGUCAUCUAGUAUUAUCUAUAGCCACGAGAAAGAAUGGGUGAAUUCGACUAUACAAGUCGCACAAGAGCAGCAAUGUUGGAAUUCUCAGUUGGUCUUCAAUCAUCUAUUGUUCACCUUUGUCUUCUUCUUCUCAGUUCUAACUUCAAACUCGAAUGACUAACUGGAUUCUUCACCUUCAUUUCUAUAAUGGGUGGGAGUCCUCUUCUACUCACGAUCAUGAUCACCCUUUCUGCUUUCUUCUCAGGUAAUGAAUCCACCCUCAUCUCCUCCAUCUCUGUUUCUUACUGAUCGAACAAACUGGUAUUUACUUCUUGGUUUCUUCAGAAACAGAGUCGACAUCUUUCGAGAUUGUGAACAACUGCAACUACACAAUCUGGCCCGGACUUCGCUCCACCGGCUCAUCACUAAACCUGUCCACCACCGGCUUCACGCUCAGGAGCGGCGCGUCCUUCAACCUCUCCGUCCCCAAAUCCUGGACAGGUCAGGUGUGGGGACGGACACUCUGCAACGAAUCCUCCACCGGAAACUUCUCCUGUUUCACCGCCGACUGCGGCACCGGAAAAGUCGAGUGCGACGGAAAUGGCGCCAUCCCGCCUGCUACUUUUGCUGAAUUCGAACUCAACAACUUCGGCUCCGGCGUGGACUACUAUGACGUCAGCCUGGUCACUGGGUUCAACCUCCCGAUGGUGGUGGAGCCUCGCGGAGCAGGCAGCAACCACUGCAUCUCUUCUGGAUGCUCGGCCGACUUGAACGGCGAUUGUCCCAAGGAGCUGAGGGUGGCGCGUGAGGGGAGCCAAGGGACCGUGGCGUGCAUGACGCCGUGCACGGCGUUCAAUAAUUCGCGGUUUUGUUGUACCGGGGAGUAUAGUACACCCGCCUCGUGUUCUGGGACCGUAUAUACCGAUUAUUUCAAACAAAGAUGCCCAAAGGCGUACACGUAUGCGUUUGAUUUGACGCCUUAUGCCAACCAGACUACGUUUACGUACAGCUGUGCGACAGCUAACUACAGCGUUGUUUUCUGCCCUAUCAGGUACCUAGCUAGUUCAUAAUAUAUUGUCAAAUUUGUCGUUGUUGAACCACUGCAAGUUACUUAGCGGUCAACCCGAGUUCGAUUUCAGAGUGUUGUUAAAGUGGUUAGAAGCUGAAAUGUAUAGUUGGAGCGCUGAGAGAUUAGUCGAUUCUUCGUAUUAUAACAUGUCGAAACGUUGGGCAAGAAGUCGAGAGCCAAUAUGAUGUUUUUGACGAAUGUGGUAGUGAUGAGACAACAAUGUGAAAGUGCAAGGGGUUAUUAGUAGUUUUCUGGGAGUUCUCUGGUUACAGUGUGGGUCUAUAUUAUGUAGAACAGUAGAAUUAGUAGUACUUACAACUUACACGUAGAAAUCUUCCAUGAUACAAAUGCAGGUUAGUAAGAAAGACUAACCAUCAAGCUUCUUUAUGUCAGUUUACCAGCUGAAACACAAGCAGAAACACCAGCCAAAGAACCAACUGUAUCCGAACAGGUUCCUUCGAAAAGUAAAAACCACACAAUCAUGAUUGCCUCUAUAGCGUCAAGUGCUGGGAUUAUCAUCUUCAUAUUAGCGGUGGUAGCAGGCCUAUGGAGCAGUAGAAGGAAGAGACAACAAGGUUAGCAAAAUGAAUACUUAGGCGGACUUUGAAUGCAGGAUUUUCAAUUUUUUAGCUAGUCAUUUUUGUGAUGAUUACUCUGGCUUUUGGUGUAGNNNNNNNNNNNNNNNNNNNNUACNGGAAACAUUUUGACUUGGAAGGAGAGACUUCAUAUCGCAGUGGAUGCAGCACAAGGUAUACAAUAGCUGAGAUAUAAGAACAAUAUAUAUGUGAAAUGGAUUGUUCCUUUGGUCUUCCUAUAUAUUUCCUAAAUCAUGAUUGAGUUGCAAUAUGAUGUACAUUAGUACCUGACAUCGAUUAGGCUUUUAAAAGGCAGAUAAUAUUUUGCAGGACUGGAUUAUCUACAUAAUGGUUGCAAGCCUCCCAUAAUCCACAGAGAUAUAAAGACCUCCAAUAUAUUGUUAACUGAAAAGAUGCAAGCCAAGAUAUGUGAUUUUGGUGUUUCCAAACUUCUUUCAACUGAAACCGCCACUCAUACCAUGACAGAUCACGUCAGAGGAACUAGAGGAUACUUUGAUCCUGAGUAAGUUAGUAAAGACAUACAUAAGUUACUUAGCAUUACUGAAAGAUAAAUUGCUGAUAGAUAAGCAUAACUUACAUUCUUCGGUUUUCUUCUUUUCAUGUCAUUAUGUUCAGAUACUACACCACAGGAAAGCUGAACAAAAAGAGUGAUAUAUACAGCUUUGGUAUUGUGUUGCUAGAACUAAUCACGGGCAGAACAGCAAUAAUAGAAGAUGUAGAACCCGAACCUGUUCACAUAUGUCAAUGGGUGAGGCCUAUGUUUCAGAGAAGAGAUAUUGAAAGUAUAUUGGAUUCAAGGAUACAAGCAGGGACUUACAACGUUUCCUCUGCUUGGAAGGCGGUAGAAAUCGCCAUGGAAUGUGUGUCAUCAACAGCUUUCGAAAGACCAGAUAUCAAUGUUGUGUAUAAGGAACUGAAGGAAUGUUUUGAAAUUGAGGUUCCACCUGAAAUAGCAAAGGUUCCAGAGGUUGAUGAAGAGAGUGAUGAUUGCAGUACUAAUUCAAGUGUUUCUUUUCACAUGGCGUCCCACGCUGAGUCUGAAAGCUUCUUAGUUCAUAUGAAGUCACACAUUGAGUCUGAAACUGAAAGGCAUACGUGUUAGUUAUUAUUUUGUUUUGAAAUCAACAUGUUAGUUAUUCUUGCACUGUUAAAACAAGAUUGGAAUUAUACGGGGGCGGAAACUAAUUGGACUAUUUCUACAAAUCUAGUAGAACAUUGCUCCGAUUUAAACUGUUCGUGGGUUCCUGGAUUGCAAGAGUAUAUUAUUACCUCUGGUGGAUCCAGAAGUAUGUCUUAAAUUAAGUUCUUGCAACUGAAGUGGCACUCGUAUUUCAACUUAUGCAAAGGAACAUUUUGGGUACCUUGAUGCUGUAAACUGCAGGUUAUAAAAACUGAUGAAGAUUUUCAACGUUCGCGAUUAUUUCAGGAUCAAUGACUUCUGAUAAACAGUUGCACAGAUCAAUGAGAGCGUUGUUGAUACGAGUUCGAGCAGCUCAGCUCGUGGAAGAAAGAGCUGCAACACAAAAA